GGCAGUGCUGGCUCAAUGGUUAAAGCUCUGGUUACAGAUCAGAAGGUGGGGAGUUCAAGCCCCAGCACUGCCA